rnacentral:rRNA from 1 species
CCUACGGGAGGCAGCAGUGGGGAAUAUUGCACAAUGGGGGAAACCCUGAUGCAGCAACGCCGCGUGAGUGAUGACGGCCUUCGGGUUGUAAAGCUCUGUCUUCAGGGAAGAAAAUGACGUUCCCUGAGGAGGUAGCCACGGCUAACUACGUGCCAACAGCCGCGUUAAUCCGUAGGUGGCGAGCGUUGUCCGGAUUGACUGGGCGUAAAGGGAGCGUAGGCGGGCUUUUAAGUGAGAUGUGAAAUACUCGGGCUUAACUUGGGUGCUGCAUUUCAAACUGGAAGUCUAGAGUGCAGGAGAGGAGAAUGGAAUGCCUAGUGUAGCGGUGAAAUGCGUAGAGAUUAGGAAGAACACCAGUGGCGAAGGCGAGUCUCUGGACUGUAACUGACGCUGAGGCUCGAAAGCGUGGGGAGCAAACAGGAUUAGAUACCCUUGUAGUC